AUUGAACGCUGGCGGCAGGCUUAACACAUGCAAGUCGAGCGGGGGAAGGUAGCUUGCUACCGGACCUAGCGGCGGACGGGUGAGUAAUGCUUAGGAAUCUGCCUAUUAGUGGGGGACAACAUCUCGAAAGGGAUGCUAAUACCGCAUACGUCCUACGGGAGAAAGCAGGGGAUCUUCGGACCUUGCGCUAAUAGAUGAGCCUAAGUCGGAUUAGCUAGUUGGUGGGGUAAAGGCCUACCAAGGCGACGAUCUGUAGCGGGUCUGAGAGGAUGAUCCGCCAAACUGGACUGAGACCCGGCCCAGACUCCUACGGGAGGCAGCAGUGGGGAAUAUUGGACAAGGGGGGGAACCCUGACCCAGCCAUGCCGCGUGUGGGAAGAAGGCCUUAUGGUUGUAAAGCACUUUAAGCGGGGAGGAGGCUACUUUAGUUAAUACCUAGGGAUAGUGGACGUUACUCGCAAAAUAAGCACCGGCUAACUCUGU
rnacentral:rRNA from 1 species